rfam:Eimeria acervulina, Houghton, WGS project CBTS01000000 data, contig: Eah_scaff2670_1
ACUUAGAAAAGAAGAAUCUCCUCAGAAGUGUCAAGCAGCAUAUCGCAGGGUGGCAGCGAGAUGUGUAGAUCAAGAGAAAGCCGCUGCUUACCGGACAACAGAUAGCAGUCCUUCCUUGUCAAAACCGACACACCUGAAGCCAAAGGAGGUGUAUUUCGUAUUAAGAGUACGAGCUGCUCAGCUUCGCAGAAGAGCUUACCUCAAGAAGAUCCAAGUCCCGGAGGUAUCACGCUGCCGCCACUUCACGACUGACUCUGAAACACUCGCUCAUAGCCUCGACCAUUGCCCACACAAAAUAGGCAGCAGGGUACACACUAGGCAAAACAGGGCGCUGGAGAGGAACACAAAGUAUAUCAAGAGCAGCGAGAAUAACAGGGGGAGGACGUUCAGCAUUGGUAGUUUCCCAGAAGAGGUGCAGACAUUAUUGAGGCCAGAGAUCAUCCUGAUAGCCAAAAUACGCAUGACGAUGGUAAUAGCAGAUGGGGCUAUUCUCUUCGAGGACUACAAAACGAACUCAAUGGGCGCAGCCAGCAUUCGUGAUGAAGAGAAGUACCAAAGCCUCAAGACACUGUGGAAAACCGGGGCAUCGGGUGGCAGUGCAGGCUUUAGUCUAUGGAUCAGUAGGUUGUACUGCACAAGAAAGUAAAAAGGUGCUUACAAAGGAGCUUGGGAUCGUCGACCCCCGAUCAUGGGCUAUCCGCCGUGCCAUUAGUACUGACUGCAUCCGACAUAGCUAUCAUAUCUGGGGUCUUCAGUUAGCUGGCAAUGGUACAUGACGAGCACGAGGCGAAGGCUGUUCUCGUGCGAGCACCGCACAGACUGCAUAAUGAUCGAAUGGUGUGAUAACUGACGAGGUUUGUACCAAUUUGUUGUGAAGAGUUCGAGCAUGCGGGACCGAAUGCGGGGCCGAGAGCCAUUUGACUCGUAUGGGAGCUGAAACAGUAUGAGGACUUAGGUGAAUUGGGGUGUAGGGGGAUGAUGUUGGUUCAGUCUCCACAGGUGUGAGGCGUCAACAGCUGGCCAGUGGGUGAUCAUGCGAGAGCAGGUGGCAGGCGGCGUGGCUGAUGCUUUCGGCUGCUGCGGUUGUUGUUGUGGUUUUAGCGGCAACGCGGCAGUUGCUGAGUGUUCAUUCGGUUGAAGAAGCAGAACCAGUUUCUGCGGACGGGUCGCCUUGUAAUCGUGGAUGCUUCAGCUGUUUGGCAAAGAGGCUCGUUGAUGACAAGGCGCGCAGGAGGAGCAGAGAAGACUCUCUGUUGGGGGGAGACUGUGGGCGGAUAAGGAAUGCGACCUUGGCCUUCUAAGGAGGGUCGGUAACUUCGGUUACUGCAUCACUUCUCAGAGGGGCUUUGCGCGUCGAACGCAAGGACGUCUGAGGCAAUAACAGGUCGGUGAAGCCCGGAGAUGUUCUGGGCUGCACGCUCGCUACACUGAUGCAGGCAACGAGCUCUUACCUUGACAGACGGGGCUUGGUAAUCUUGUGAGAGUGCAUCGUGGUAGGGGUAGAUUGUCAGUCUUCAACGAGGGGUGUCUAAUAGGCCUAGUAUGCCUAGUAGACGCAACUCGAUCAGCUCCCUGCCUCUUGUAUACACCGCCUAUCGCUGCUACCGAGCGGAGGGUCCUGUUAAUUCAUCGGACUGGCCAGCACUAAUGUGGGGCUGGCCGGAAAGUUGCAUUAAUACAGUCCUCUGAAGAAUGGUCGUGUAAUAGGACAGUUUCCGUAGGUGAGCCUGCGGGAGUAUUCGCA